rnacentral:lncRNA from 1 species
CCAGACCCACGAAAAACCACCACAAAAGGAAUACUACAACGGAGAGAGUUGAAUUUCCUAUCUUAUCCUUAUUUUGGGAACCGGGAAACGUUAAAUUAGCGGCUGCUGAUUGGUUGAACCGGCCCAAUUAGAAGCUAACCAUGAGCGGUAAAGGACAUAAAUACGAUUUCCCAGAAUAGACAAAGUACUGCCACCUAAUAAUCAUCACAGUUAAAAAAAAAAGUAAAAAAGAGUUGAAAUAAAUAGAUAAACUAAAAAGGAAAGAACAUGAAGGGGGGAAAAAGGAAAAGAAAGUACAAAUCUCACAUCUCAUAUCAAUCCCUGUCUCUGUACCUUCCUACUGAAAAUAUCAUAUCAUGAAAUCAGGACCGGACUUCCAUGGCCAGAAACAAAAAGAAAAAGGCCAAGAAAGAGAAGAAGAAGAAGAAGAAGGAGAAGAAGAAAGCGUAAUAAGGCCGUACUUAUCAACUCUUUCAAGCACUAAACAGUGGCAAUGGCGGAUUGCAGCUCAAGGCCGUACCACUAGCUGGUUCUUUGUAAGUACCCCUUGCUACCUGCUGCCGGACUUCCCAUCUACUUCAUUCCUUAGUGAUGCUAUCAAUAACUUAUCAAUUGCUUACGCCUCUCUAAAUUCAACAACUACACUUGUCGGGAAUUCUAGUAAUUAACCACACAAUUCUGAUAUAUCUAUUGCCGCGUGAUUGUGUUCCUGGACAGUAACGCCACAGUAAAACCCUAGAUUUAGCCAUUAUCCGAUACUCCUUCCAGCCUUGAUUUUGUUCCAACUGGCAGGCAAAACGAGAAUUCAACAAUUUCAAGUCUAGCUAGACAGUAUUAUUGCAUUACUUCCGAGUCUGAUGAAACUCUUCACUGUACUACUACUGUCAGAGUUUGGCCCCGUCAGAUUCUUCAAUUAGGGGGUAUUGAUAUAGUACAUAGCUGGUAAACAUACAGAUAAUAAGCUUCUCAGCUAGGGAAAAAACCUACUAGGUGCGAUCUGCGAUCAUACACGCAGCCCAAGCUCUGUUUUGAAUAAUUUUUUGACAGCAUGAUAUGAACUUGCAUCUGUAUGGACGGUUAAGCUUGCAGCACUACUGUCUGUAAAUGCUGUUCUACCAAGCUUACAGCAGAUAUAUAGGCGGUCGACGUAUAUCUGAAAGCAUAUAUAUAACUGAACACAGCAUCACAAUAGAUAUAUACGCUGCUGCUGCAACACAUGAUAGAAAGUACAAGUUUGAGUGAGAAUGAUCAGAUUUACUAAUUUGUAGAAGCUAAAUACUAAUUAUUAGUCAGAUUGUGUCAUGUAUCUGCAUUGCAUACUGCACAGGUCAGGUUCCUUAUCCCUACACAAGUACAUCACACACAAAAAUUGCCUAUAUAUACAAUUAUAGUCAAGGAUAAGGGUACCAAGAGACGAGGUGUCAGUGAUGUCACUGGUAAGGUCCAGCAACUAAGAACUCCAUUCCAUCCUUUUUAUAUAUCCAUGGUAUAAUGAAGCUGUAGAGGAGUUAGCAAAAGGAGAAGGAAAUAUAUAUAUAUUUAGACUCCCUCAAACAAACCUUAUAUAGAACAUUAACAUGUGAAAAAGGAUAUAGCGAGAUUGAAAUGACAUGCUUGUGAAUCGUGCUAGAUAUUCUUGUCUGAUGAAGCUACAGCCGGACCCCAACACCUACACCGAAGCAUUGACUAAACCGUUGGCUACUCUAGACUGCAUGCUCGCGAUACCAACACCUGUAAGUUGUUAGUUUGUGUUACUUGGUACAUACUCAUGAGAAUGUUUUUCGGUAGCUGUUAAACGAUAGUUAGGAAGCUGCAGGCAGAACUUUUAGACGUAUUCCGUACGAUUCACUUUAUAAGCACAAUGUAAACAAACUACAGAGAGAGCUUCCUCACAAUUAGGUCGUCAGUACUGUAAGGUAGUUUAGUCACAAAGCUAUUUUUCAGUUUACAAAUCAUCCUUAAGCAUCAUGCUAAGUCAAUAGGCCAAAGAAAGAACAAGUGCAUCAAUUUCAUCAAAACAUGGAAUAAAAACUGCUGCUGGAGGACAUCUAAAGAAACACAACCAACCUUUUUGUUUGAUGAAUAAACAGAAAAAGGAAAAGGGCUGUAUAUAUAUAGCUGCAGCCUGCAGUUGCCGAAACUCCGAAGAUGGAAAACGGAACUCUACGACAUUAGACGUUGUUAAACAAAUACAUGAAAAACAGAAGCAGCAGUUCAAUUAAUAGAUAUGCAAGUACUGUUAGCCAAGUUGCCUGCUAAGAUGUUUCGAAAUCUGCAUGUUUGAUUAGAUACAAACUACAAAGACAUUCCUUCCUUUAUCAGCAGUUGUAUAGAGUAGAACUUCUCGAAUAGUUGGAUAUACCAAGCUAGACUCACCGAUAUGUCAAUUUCACACACACACAGACAAAUAUAUAUAUCUAUAUGAUACAGCCUUUGUAGUUUUCAACUGAAGGGGUUGGUUUAGGUAAAGUUUGGCGUCUAGAAUCAUGUUUUCUAAGAAACUUGAAUCGAGGUUAGUUGAAAAAAAUUGAGUCGAGUUAACGAGAGGUUGUGGGAACAAAGUUGGACAGAGAUGUAAAAGAUUCCAAGCAAAAUAUUUGUGUUUCCAAAACCAGUCAAGUGGAAUUUCCUAAAAAUCUUUCACAUCUCUUGAUUCAACUUUCCUUCCACAAACCCUCUCAACCUCAACUAAACUUCCUUUCAACUUUCUUACGAAACAUGCAUGAUUCUAGAUGCCAAACCUUACCUUAAGGGUAAGUGCCGAAUCGCAGCUCGACAUCGUCAUAUCUGUCCAUUUGUCUAUAACGUUGUGAGUAUAUAAGUGUGUUUUGCAACUCGACUCAAUAUGGAUUUAAGUUGAAAACAUUCUCGACACAUAAUCUCUAGUAUACGUACAUACAAUAUAAUGUAAUACCAAAAUAAAAAUUUGUAGUGAAAAAAGAAAAAUUACAAAAUCCAACUAAAGAAAAAAGGGGAAAUUAAUAACGCAUGGCUUCCUAAUUAACCAAAGAAAUUCAGUCAUGAGGAAACACCUACUCAAAAUGUUCAACCCAAGUUAUAAUUAUCUAUUUACACAACAAAACAUGUCUUAAAGAAUAAAAAACCUUAAUAAAUUAGGAAAUGGUAACAGAAACAAUGGUGGUUUAAUUUUUCAAUCACCACAAGAUUAACUAGACCGGUAAUUAGUAGCAAUAACCCAUCAAUCUCUACCUUUUUAACGAGGGGAGGACCAAGAUCACGAACCAUCGUAGACAAGUCGAUUUAGACGGGAGGCUGGAGGUGCAUGGUAGUAUAUAUAGAUCAAUUAUGCAGAAACAACUGAGCUAAGUGCUAUUAUAGGCAAUGGAGGUUAGCAAGGUAAGAAUUGCAGUGCAAACUUAACAAGUCUGUCUGACACUUGAUAUGCAGACAGACAUUGGAAACAUUGGGUUUUGGCUUAUGGCAUAAUUUUGCAUCGCUUUCGAAAUCCAGAAACCCGAUAUUGCUAGUUGAUGGGUCCUCUCACAGUAGGGUUUGUAUGUAAAGGUAAUGAAACACAGAUAACAGUGGAAGUACUGUAGAUGGUUAUAAGUAUGUAGAUAGAUCACAGUAAUUAGGAUUCGCAUGCGCAACAAGUAAAAAUAGAUCAUGCAAAUGCUAUCAUCUGCAAGCAACUUGGCAUUGGCUUCCCCCCCGGGGCGUAAGGACCAGACUAGAAAACCCACUAGCUUAGCUUAAUUAGCUUACGUGAAUGGUCCCAUGCCAUGUGGGGUAACAGUAAAAUUGCCGCUAAUGUGUACAGUAAUCUCUGUGCUGCUGCAUAUAUCAUCAAAAGCAACGCCUGCUGCUUAAUUAUAACUAAACAUAAACAAUAGUUUAUGUAAAUCUAAACAGUACCACAACCUCAAAAGAAAAUGAAAACCUUAAACCAAAGCAAAAACCCUCGGAGUCGUCAGUCAGUCCCCCACUAAAGCAACGAGUUGAGUUACCUGUUUCCCAGUAAGCACCACACUCGGUUUCCCUUUGCCAAACCAAACCCAAAACCCAACAGAAGUACUUGUGAAAGAGAGAGUUAAUAAUAACAAAUCUAAAACAAGAAGAAGAAGAAGAAGAAGAAGAAGAAGAAGAAGAAGAAGGAUGAGAAGCCGACAGAAAGAGAAGUGAGCACCUAAAAACAAUGGUAUAGAUUCAUAUAACAUAAUGGUCUCUAAGUGCUCACUCUCUUCUGUCAGUUUCUCCUUACUUUCACCCCUUACCCAGAAACAAAGAUCCCACCGGCCAGAUCUGAGCAACCAAAACAAAGGAAACAAGAGCUCAUCUUUCUGGCUUGCUUGCCUAGCCAGCUAGGGUUUAUAUAUGUAAUGACAAACUGAAAAAAAGAUAGAUAGACAUCCAAACGAAUCCAUGGAAGGUGAAGAGAAAGAAAGAAAGAAAAGUCUUCUUUCUGUGUGCUGUGAAAGCGAAGAAGCAAAUAGCAAUGCUUUGAGAGAAGAUGUAUAUAUCCGCGGCUACCAUAUCUAUCUAUCUAUCUGUCUACCUUAUCACGCCGUAGUUAUUAAGUAGUGCAAUUAUCUCUCCGCCCAUUACGCAAUUUUUAAUUAUUAUUAUUAUUAUUUUGAAUAAAGGGUGGAGGUUCUGAUUUCUGAUUUCUCUCUCCGUCAUGCAAAUCGCACAGGUGUCGAUACUUUUUAUCCCCAAAUGUCACACUUUUUCUUCUGCACCCAAAUAACAGCGACUAUUCCACUGUAACUACAUUUCUGACUACACAUUAUCAUACUGCUUUUUCUCAUGUUUUCUGCUUACAUGGAGACAUUUCUGGCGGUGAUUUAUAUUCCAUGUGGAAUCGGAAUUAAGUGAAAUUGUAGACUCGGUCAUUCCAUUGUGAUUUAUGAUUCCGUUUAUUUGAUCGACCUAAAAAUGAUUUGCACGGGUCAAUUGAACCGAACGUAAAUUUAAACGAAUGGAAACCGAUUUAGAGUAGGACAUAGGAGAACAAUUUGAUGGAUGAUCUUAUAGAUGAUGAAGAUUUAGAUGAAGUGACUAACCAUGUGGAAGGAGAAUAAUUUUAGUUAAAAUUUUCAAAUUUUAUCUCUUCCGAAAUUUUUAUUUUUUUUAAAUGAUUUGAAAUCAUCCACGAAAUUCUCUCAAAUCCAUCAAGUAAUUACAUCCUGCAUGUAGAAAAUGCACUUCCCAUAUAAUUUCGAAAUGUACUUUGCACUUGCUAUCACUCAUUUGAAUACUGAUUAAUGAGAUUUGAAAUUAAUUUUAAAAAAUAAUCUUCAUAAAAUCUUUAUAUAAAUUACCUCAAUAACUCGAAAUUACAAACAUAUAACUCUACCCAUAUACUAACCCCACCUGAAUAAUUAUCCCUACUUUGGGUUUACAAACUUUUUAGCAGAAGGAUACAGAAUAAGCCCAAAAGCACAGUUUAUCAGGAGGACACAGAAGAAUAUGCACGAAUAAACCCAAAAUCACAGCUUAUGAGGAGGACACGGAAGAAUAAUAUGUGAACAAGCCCAAAAGCCCAAACUCUGUCAACUCUGUUAUCCAAUCGAAUUGGGGAGACUAACCUGUGGACUGUGGAUGCGAACCCAAUAAAGACACCUUAAGAGUUGGGCCUCAGCUUAUAAAGAGGGCUUCCCUACUGGACUUGAAGUCCAGCAUUCAUAUUCCCGCCGUCACCCAACGCAGGACUGAGUGGCGGUAACACAAUCUUUGUCAGUGAACCUAAACAAUUUCCGUAGUAUAUUUUUUUUAUUAGGAUAUUUAUCGGCAAUAUUAAUAAUCGAUUCUUUUAUCGUGGUGUUCUUACAAGGUAAUAAAAAAUUAACGACAAGGGAUACUUUAUUUUUAUGGUCAAAGAUUAACCUUCCGACCUCAUAAUUAAAGGACAAGGCGAACAACCAACAAUAUCAUACCGCAUCAUUUAUAGUAUAUCAUAGAGAGAAACAUCACAUUUUUCAGUUUCUAGAGCCGAUUUCUUUAACGGUAGGAGAUGUAGCUGUGAGUGAAUCCAUUAUAAAUACUCAAUACAUGCAAUAGUUGAAUGGGAAAAUGGUUUAUAAAUCUGAUUGUUUGGUGUUGACUAACAAGGGGAGAUUGGUUCGGCACCGUUCACGGAUCUGGAUGGGGUACAAUAUCCCAUAACACAAAGGAAGGAGCCGAUGUUUGUUUGUUUAUAGGGAGGAGAUGAUGGGGCAAUUGGUCCCGUUGCAGGUUGGUUGGUUGGUAUGAAUGAUGAUGAUCUCUUGGAAUAAUUAAUGCAAAUAUAUUUCCCCAAUAAAGCCAACAUGGCAAGGGAGCUCGCUUCUUUACUUUCACGGUUUAACUUUCUUUAGCUUUUUUUUUGUAAAGAAAUGCUUUAGAAAAGAGUGAUAAGAGGAAAUAUCUAGUGUAGGAUUAGUGCAAACAUGGUCCCCCAAGACAAACAAUCGACCCAGACCACUACGCGAUUGUAUGUAGGCAAAGAUGUCAGGCGAGUAGAGGCUCAUGAAAGCCCCGACUUUCCCCGUACAAGUUGUGUUUAAAGCAGCUCUCAGAAUUUGUGGUCAUAUUCCAUGCCCAAAUGUGGUCCUUCCUCGUCAAUCAUUUCGCAGUUAUAAACCACACGUUGCCACUUCAAUUUGUUGGAUUCAAACAAACAUAAUCGCAUGACCAAACUAUCAGCCGUGCUGUCCUAUAAAUGUGUCUAUAA